UGAUUAUUUACAUGCUAGCUCUAGUGACCAGCCGGACCCACAUCCAGAUGUUGGUUCUGGGAACUCCCCAUUGGCUGCGCUCAAUCCGAGGGGCGGGAUAAACGGUUGUCUUUCAGAGUCCCUCCGCACGCAAUAGGAUAGC